UACGUAGGUGGCAAGCGUUGUCCGGAAUUAUUGGGCGUAAAGCGCGCGCAGGCGGUCCUUUAAGUCUGAUGUGAAAGCCCACGGCUCAACCGUGGAAGGUCAUUGGAAACUGGAGGACUUGAGUACAGAAGAGGAAAGCGGAAUUCCACGUGUAGCGGUGAAAUGCGUAGAGAUGUGGAGGAACACCAGUGGCGAAGGCGGCUUUCUGGUCUGUAACUGACGCUGAGGCGCGAAAGCGUGGGGAGUAAACAGG
rnacentral:rRNA from 1 species